rnacentral:tRNA from 1 species
UGGGGUGUAGCUCAGGGCAGAGCACUUGUUUACCAUGCACAAGAUGCUGGGUUCAACUCCAAUACCACAA